rnacentral:rRNA from 1 species
UGCGUAGGUCCCGAGCGUUAUCCGGAUUUAUUGGGCGUAAAGCGAGCGCAGGUGGUUAGAUAAGUCUGAAGUGAAAGGCUGUGGCUUAACCAUAGUAUGCUUUGGAAACUGUUUAACUUGAGUGCAGAAGGGGAGAUUGGAAUUCCAUGUGUAGCGGUGAAAUGGGUAGAUAUAUGGAGGAACACCGGUGGCGAAAGCGGCUCUCUGAUCUGUAACUGACGCUGAGGCUCGAAAGCGUGGGGAGCAAACAGG